rnacentral:misc_RNA from 1 species
GCAAACCGAAACCAUAUAAAUCUCUCUCUUGCGAAUCAUAAAAACAGCAGAGAUUCGAUUAUAUUGAAAGAUUUCAACUUCUCAAUAGCUAAUCACUUCACGUCCCUUCGAUUCUACUUUUCCUCAAUUGCCAACCUUCAUUCCAACAAUUUCUAUUCCGUCCCGGAAUCAUCCAAUCACUGGAUUUUGGAAUAUAAAGAUCCGCUUUUCUCUCUCAGGCAAUAACAAGAGAGAAGGAGAAUCCUUUUCUUGCUUUCGUUCUAUCCCAAUAAGGUGUUCGUUGAUGGUCAUCUAAGCUGUUUCUCUCCAUAACUGGUAAUGUUCUUUCGCUUUCUGUUUUUGCGUUUUCUUCAAUUGUUUGCUCUGUUUGGUUACUCGCAAAAUCAACACGGCCCUUAAAGAAUUAGGACAAGCUGUAGUUCUUUUUGUCACUUGCUGUUGUUUGUCAAAUCUUAUUUGCUCCAUUCUUUUCUAUCCUUUUUGUUCUCUUUCCCUUUGUUCUCCUUCUGUAGUUUUCUCCGCAACCAAACAGAACAGUGAUUUCUGGUAUAUAUCUUUAACGGUUAUUUGGUUGCAGAGAAUCUGUUCCCGAGUUCUCCACACAGCCAAACAAAGUAGUGUAGCACCCAAAUUGCAAGGGCCGUGCUAGUUAAGUGCACUUCCAAAAGUGAAUAUUAAUAACUAUAUUUGCAAUUGUCACCAAAUUAUUAGUCAAUACUAGUGUUUCCUUCCAUAGAAUUCAGAAAAAAUUAAGCUAAUAGAAUUGAUAAUUGAUAUGCUGAUGCCUGAAACUGGAUACUUGCGUAGUGGCCCGGAGUUGGUCAAAUUGGGUAGCUUUUAAAUAAAGUGAUAAGGACGGUUGGUAUGAGACCUUUAUUUUGAUGUAUUAAAAAAAAGAGAGAGAGAUUUAUAUAAAAAAAGUCAAAAGCCAGGCCUACAUGAUCUGAUGCACACCUGUAACUGAAAAUUUAUAUGAAAAGUUAGGUGAAAAUUAUUGUAUGGAAAUAAUUCAAUUCUUUGACCUCAGUUUACGUGGGAAAUGUAUCUUGGUCUCUUGUCUCUAUCCUCUUACUAAAUAUUCCCGAUGCAAUAUGGGUGAUGCAGCAGUAGCAGUAUAGGAAGUUGUGGCGCGAGUAAUAUGUGAGUUAAAUGUGAAAAUUUAUGGGUUAUAUCAGUUUGGCUUGGGGGAUGAGGGAAGUACUGGAGGUAAUGCAUUAUAGUAAGAUGAAGAUCCUAGUGCAAUUUAGCAAUUAUUUUCAAUGUAAAAUUAGGAAAUUUAAUAGUUUUAUUAUUUAGGAAGUUUAUUAUUAUUAGGUCUAUUAUU